rnacentral:lncRNA from 1 species
CUUCCUUGACUCUGCUUGGGUAUGAUAAACCAAGUAGAACAACUUGGAUAAACUAGUAAUUUUCAACAAGAAUUCAAACCAUUAUACAAAGGUGUAAUGUGAUUUGACAUCUCUUCAGUUUGAGCUAAAUCUUUAAUUGAAUACUUGAUAAAUAAUGGAAUGUAUCUCUACAUAUGUUGACUCACACAAUCAACAAAAAGCAAAUUUGGUAGUUGAAUCACCUCCAUAUGGUGGACG